rnacentral:rRNA from 1 species
UACGGAGGGUGCAAGCGUUAUCCGGAUUCACUGGGUUUAAAGGGUGCGUAGGUGGGCAGGUAAGUCAGUGGUGAAAUCUUUGGGCUUAACCCGAAAACUGCCAUUGAUACUAUUUGUCUUGAAUAUUGUGGAGGUCAGCGGAAUAUGUCAUGUAGCGGUGAAAUGCUUAGAUAUGACAUAGAACACCAAUUGCGAAGGCAGCUGGCUACACAUAUAUUGACACUGAUGCACGAAAGCGUGGGAUCAAACAGG